GUCAAGCUCCAUAAAGGAUGGCUAAAGCACUGUAGGGACACAGAGGAGGAGCUUGUUCCUUGAAUCCAGGACUGUCUCCCGAGGCAGUGGGAGGGGAUGGUUAGGGAUUGGAGGAGUCAGAAGUUUUAGAUUUAAUUUGUAACUUAUGAAUUUUUAUUAUACUGAUAAUUAUAUUUGAUUUAACUUUUGUGAUUUAAAUACUUUUUAAGCUGCAUCUCGUCAGAAUCGGGAGAACUGGGCUACUCAGGAGUACAUGCACACUCUUGGCCUUAAGUUUAUAGCUAAUCGUGUGCAUAGAGAGGUAAUAAAUUCUGACCUUUAGUUUACAAGUUAUUGAAUUAUUGUUUUUAUAUGUUUCUAACAAGCUGAUUGAUUAUUAUAGCUGAUGAGAAAGGGGGAGAUGCCCAACCGUAGCAUCAUCUUUCGAUCGAGUCAUAUGGAUAAGAAGGGU
rnacentral:lncRNA from 1 species